rnacentral:rRNA from 1 species
UACGGAGGGUGCAAGCGUUAAUCGGAAUUAUUGGGCGUAAAGCGCGUGUAGGCGGCUUGUUAAGUUGGUUGUGAAAACCCAUGGCUCAACCAUGGAAGUGCGUCCAAAACUGGCAAGCUAGAGUUCUGACGAGGAUGGCGGAAUUCCCAGUGUAGAGGUGAAAUUCGUAGAUAUUGGGAGGAACACCGGUGGCGAAGGCGGCCAUCUGGGAAGAUACUGACGCUGAGACGCGAAAGCGUGGGGAGCAAACAGG